rnacentral:rRNA from 1 species
UACGAAGGGGGCUAGCGUUGCUCGGAAUUACUGGGCGUAAAGGGCGCGUAGGCGGCCUGUUAAGUCGAACGUGAAAUCCCUGGGCUCAACCCAGGAACUGCGUCCGAUACUGGCAGGCUUGAAUUCGGGAGAGGGAUGCGGAAUUCCAGGUGUAGCGGUGAAAUGCGUAGAUAUCGGGAGGAACACCAGUGGCGAAGGCGACUACCUGGCCUGUUCUUGACGCUGAGGCGCGAAAGCUAGGGGAGCAAACGGG